AGUGAACGCUGGCGGUAGGCCUAACACAUGCAAGUCGAACGGCAGCACAGUAAGAGCUUGCUCUUACGGGUGGCGAGUGGCGGACGGGUGAGGAAUACAUCGGUAUCUACUUUUUCGUGGGGGAUAACGUAGGGAAACUUACGCUAAUACCGCAUACGACCUACGGGUGAAAGCAGGGGAUCUUCGGACCUUGCGCGAUUGAAUGAGCCGAUGUCGGAUUAGCUAGUUGGCGGGGUAAAGGCCCACCAAGGCGACGAUCCGUAGCUGGUCUGAGAGGAUGAUCAGCCACACUGGAACUGAGACACGGUCCAGACUCCUACGGGAGGCAGCAGUGGGGAAUAUUGGACAAUGGGCGCAAGCCUGAUCCAGCCAUACCGCGUGGGUGAAGAAGGCCUUCGGGUUGUAAAGCCCUUUUGUUGGGAAAGAAAAGCAGCAGGUUAAUACCCCGCUGUCCUGACGGUACCCAAAGAAUAAGCACCGGCUAACUUCGUG
rnacentral:rRNA from 1 species